GCUUCUAUAGCUCAACGGUAGAGCAUAAUUACUGUUAAUAUUAGGAUAGAUGUUCGAUUCAUCUUAGAGG
rfam:Sordaria macrospora k-hell, WGS project CABT02000000 data, contig: 2.1571